UCAUAGUAGCUCCAAUCUUUAAUUUCAGUUCAAUCAGUCGAAAAUCUAAGAAGAUUUAUACAAACUUUCAUCCCCUAUUUUAUCCCCUUAGGGGUGGAAUUUAUCAAAAUCCUUUCUUAGGGGAUGCCUACGUCAUAGUAGCUUUAUGCAUGCAAAGUCUCAGCCCGAUCGGAAGAGCGUCGUUUA